rnacentral:rRNA from 1 species
GAUGAACGCUGGCGGCGUGCCUAAUACAUGCAAGUCGAACGAAACUUCUUUAUCACCGAGUGCUUGCACUCACCGAUAAAGAGUUGUGUGGCGAACGGGUGAGUAACACGUGGGCAACCUGCCCAAAAGAGGGGGAUAACACUUGGAAACAGGUGCUACUACCGCAUAACCAUAGUUACCGCAUGGUAACUAUGUAAAAGGUGGCUAUACUACCGCUUUUGGAUGGGCCCGCGGCGCAUUAGCUAGUUGGUAGGGUAAAGGCUUACCAAGGCAAUGAUGCGUAGCCGAAUUGAGAGGUUGAUCGGCCACAUUGGGACUGAGACACGGCCCAAACUCCUACGGGAGGCAGCAGUAGGGAAUCUUCCACAAUGGGCGAAAGCCUGAUGGAGCAACGCCGCGUGGGUGAAGAAGGUCUUCGGAUCGUAAAACCCUGUUGUUAGAGAAGAAAGUGCGUGAGAGUAACUGUUCACGUUUCGACGGUAUCUAACCAGAAAGCCACUGCUAACUACGUG